CCUACGGGUGGCAGCAGUAGGGAAUAUUGCACAAUGGGGGAAACCCUGAUGCAGCGACGCCGCGUGAAGGAAGAAGUAUUUCGGUAUGUAAACUUCUAUCAGCAGGGAAGAAAAUGACGGUACCUAACUAAGCACCCCCGGCUAACUACGUGACAGCAGCCGAGGUAAUACGUAGGGGGCACGCGUUAUCCGGAUUUACUGUGUGGAAAGGGAGCGUAGGCGGUUUAGCAAGUCAGAAGUGAAAGCCCGGGGCUCAACGCCGGGUCUGCUUUUGAAACUGUUGAACUAGAUUGCAGGAGAGGUAAGUGGAAUUCCUUGUGUAGCGGUGAAAUGCGUAGAUAUAAGGAGGAACACCAGUGGCGAAGGCGACUUUCUGGACUGUAAAUGACGCUGAUGCUCGAAAGCGUGGGGAGCAAACAGGAUUAGAUACCCCUGUAGUC
rnacentral:rRNA from 1 species